AACGAACGCUGGCGGCAUGCCUAACACAUGCAAGUCGAACGAGACCUUCGGGUCUAGUGGCGCACGGGUGCGUAACGCGUGGGAACCUGCCUUUAGGUUCGGAAUAACUCAGAGAAAUUUGAGCUAAUACCGGAUGAUGUCUUCGGACCAAAGAUUUAUCGCCUUUAGAUGGGCCCGCGUUGGAUUAGCUAGUUGGUGGGGUAAAGGCCUACCAAGGCGACGAUCCAUAGCUGGUCUGAGAGGAUGAUCAGCCACACUGGGACUGAGACACGGCCCAGACUCGUACGGAAGGCAGCAGUGGGGAAUAUUGGACGAUGGGCGAAAGCCUGAUCCAGCAAUGCCGCGUGAGUGAUGAAGGCCUUAGGGUUGUAAAGCUCUUUUACCCGAGAUGAUAAUGACAGUAUCGGGAGAAUAAGCUCCGGCUAACUCCGUG
rnacentral:rRNA from 1 species